GAACACUGAUUGUAAAACUAUCCUAUAUCGAAAAUAAGUCUUAAUUAGCCGCCCUUUGAUGUCUAUAUAAGCCCAGUGUUCUUUAUUUGUAAGACCAAUUGCAGUGCUUGCAAGUCACAACUGCGAGGUGCAGUAUCGAGGUAAUUUCUUUUCCACUUUUUUCUUUUUUUUUGUUUAUUUUGUCUCUUUUUUUUCAAAUUGAUGCAUAUAACAAUAUGCAGCCAUCGACUUAAGGUGCGAGAGUUUAACGUUUCCUCCGUCACCUUGAGAUCCGACCAAUUUUACUUCAAGAUAGUGGCAACGCAAUAAUCGUCUUAGGGUGCGAGAGUUUAACUUCGUCUCUGUCAUCCUAAGAUUCGACCAAUUUUUCUUCAAGAUGGUGACUAUGCAACAAUCGGCUUUGGAUGCGAGAGUUUAACUUCACCUCCAUACACUUUAAGACUGACCAAUUUGACUUCAAGAUGGUGACUUUUCUUCAAGUAUGGUCCCUUUCACCGAUGCUCUUAUACAAUGGUCUUCUUUAAGUAUGGGUCCUUUCACUGAUGCAAUUAUGCAAUGGUCUUCUUUAAGUAUGAGCUCUUUCACCAAUGCAAUUAUGCAAUGGUCUUCUUUAAGUAUGAGCCUUUUCACCGAUGCACUUAUGCAAUGGUCUUCUUUAAAUAUGGGCCCCAAUUAUGCAAUGAUCUUCUUUAAGUAUGAGCCUUUUCACCGAUGCACUUAUGCAAUGGUCUUCUUUAAAUAUAGGCCCCA
rnacentral:lncRNA from 1 species